rnacentral:rRNA from 1 species
GGCUCAGAACGAACGCUGGCUCCGUGCCUAAUACAUGCAAGUCGAGCGGGGGCUUUUGGGAGCUUGCUUCUGAGAGCCCUAUCGGCGGACGGGUGAGUAACACGUAGGCAACCUGCCCGCAGGACCGGGAUAACGUAGGGAAACUUACGCUAAUACCGGAUAGGGUUUCGCCCCGCAUGGGGCGGAACGGAAAGGCGGCGAUGAGCUGUCACUUGCGGAUGGGCCUGCGGCGCAUUAGCUACUUGGUGAGGUAACGGCUCACCAAAGCGACGAUGCAUAGCCGACCUGAGAGGGUGACCGGCCACACUGGGACUGAGACACGGCCCAGACUCCUACUGGAGGCAGCAGUGGGA